rnacentral:tRNA from 1 species
GGAGCCGAGUAGAACGGCAGCACGAACUGCACCCGGAGAAGCCCUGUUGCGGUGCUGAAGGACGCGGGUUCGAUUCCCGCCACCUCCACCA